CUGUCCCAAAUCUACUACUGUGCCAUUUGGCGAUUUCUAGGCCUAGUAUGAACAAGUUGGCGCAAGGAGGAAAUAAUUCUGAGGAGCCUGCUAUUUGAAAGCUAUUGUUGCAUAGUAUCUUGCCUCUGCGUCACAAGAUGCACACAGCCAUUAUUGCUGCAUUGUAUAAUACUCCCUCCGUUCCUAAAUAUAAGCCUUUUUAUAGAUUCCAAUGCAGACUACAUACGGAGCAAAAUGAGUGCAUCUACACUCUAAAAUACGUCUAUAGACAUCUGUAUGUAGUCCGUAUUGAAAUCUCUGAAAAGACUUAUAUUUAGAAACAGACAGAGUAGUUGAAUAUUUUAACUUGCAGAGUUUUGCUUGAAGCAAUCAAAAUGGAGACUGAAUUUUGAACAUGUAAUGUUGCAGGAUCUCAACUCCUUUCGGAACAACCAAACAUCUCUUGGAUAUGAUCCCAAAAGAGACAUUAAGCAAGCUACAGAAUAACCAGGACCUUAACACCCAAGAAAGGUAAUACUAAUAUUUUUUAGAAGGGGUGACAAUUAUUUACCUUUAAUGAAACAGAUGUUAAUCAUAAAUAUUUUCUAAAUUCAGAACAUCGAAUACCGGAGUCAGCCGGAUCAUCACACCGCCGCCUCCAUUGCCAGAUUUCCCUUUGGCCCUAAAUCCUGAGGAAUAUGAGCUUCCCCAAUUAGGCCCGCUGUUGAAGAAGGAAGCUAACCACUAAUAAAGUUUCGUUACCAAGCUCAGGCAAGAACGAAGGCCUUCUUCUAAAAGGGAUCACUCCUCCGCAGCUGAAAAAGAACACAAAUUCUGCAACACUUUAGAGGACAAUAGUGAGAAACGAAGUCUAUUACGCCGAAUGUUAGAAAGAAAAACAAUUUUAUUAAUGUCGACCAGUUAAAAUGAAUUACCCAGCAAGGUCCAAGGAUCUGAAGAGCAUUGUACAGACGGAUCUUUUCUUGUGAAUUACACAAAUGCUUUUGUUGACAGAUUUCUAGCCACCAACUUUGCUAGAAAAGUAUAAAGUAAGCAUUCAGUAUAUCCUCUCAUCCGGUGCUGCUCAUUAAAAU
rnacentral:lncRNA from 1 species